rnacentral:rRNA from 1 species
UACGUAGGGUGCGAGCGUUGUCCGGAAUUAUUGGGCGUAAAGAGCUCGUAGGCGGUUUGUCGCGUCUGCCGUGAAAGUCCGGGGCUCAACUCCGGGAUCUGCGGUGGGUACGGGGCAGACUAGAGUGAUGUAGGGGAGACUGGAAUUCCUGGUGUAGCGGUGAAAUGCGCAGAUAUCAGGAGGAACACCGAUGGCGAAGGCAGGUCUCUGGGCAUUAACUGACGCUGAGGAGCGAAAGCAUGGGGAGCGAACAGG